rnacentral:rRNA from 1 species
GACGAACGCUAGCGGCGUGCUUAACACAUGCAAGUCGAACGAUGAAGAAGAGAAACGCGAACUUCGGUUCAAAUUUCACUUCGGAUUAGUGGCAGACGGGUGAGUAACGCGUGAGCAACCUACCUCUUACAAAGGGAUAGCCUCGGGAAACCGUGAUUAAUACCAUAUGACACAUUCAUAAGGCAUCUUAAGAAUGUUAAAGCUACGGCGGUAAGAGAUGGGCUCGCGUCCCAUUAGCUAGUUGGUGAGGUAACGGCCCACCAAGGCGACGAUGGGUAACCGGCCUGAGAGGGUGAACGGUCACAUUGGAACUGAGACACGGUCCAAACUCCUACGGGAGGCAGCAGUGGGGAAUAUUGCACAAUGGAGGGAACUCUGAUGCAGCGACGCCGCGUGAGCGAUGAAGGAAUUCGUUUCGUAAAGCUCUGUUCUAUGGGAAGAAAAGGACUGUACCAUAGGAGAAAGCCCCGGCUAAAUACGUG